AUUGAAUGGGUUGCAUAUGUGAGUCCAUAUUAAAUAUAGUAAUGAAACACAGACUUACUCACAAUCAUUUAAUUAUACUUUGACGACCGGUUUCGAUCUCUACAAUAUACAGAUCAUCUUCAGGUCGGCGUUACAAGUAGUUAAAUGCUACAAUAAGAGAAAACUUGUGUUAGACCAGUGUCUGAUUGAAGAGAUGUUAAUAGAAAGCCAAAUUUAAAAAAAUUUUUAUAAAAUUUUUUGACAUAAAGGUUUGCAACUGUUGACAUUUCAGAAUAUUGGUAUAUACAAAGUCAAACCUAUGAGUAAAAAUGCUCAUAGUCAUGUAUGUGCAAAUGGGUGCAUACAGUUUGAAUUUGUUGAAAUUAAAAUUUUUAACCAUUAAAAAACAAAAUAAACAUAAACUGACUUAAAUAUGCUUCCAAAUUCAAAGUAGUAAUAAUAAAAGAGAUAGUAAUAUUGUUCUAAUCUACUUACAUGCCGUUACAAGGAUUGCGUUGCAACUUAGUUGUUGUCAUAUUAGUACGUCCAAAUUAUGCUAAUUGGUUUGUUGGGAUAGUGAUAGGGUAAACAGACAUGUUACGUAGGUUAAAACACAGUAAGAUUUCGAAUUUGGAAUGGAUCCUGAAGGAAGAUGCGUAUGUGAAACGGGUGAUGUUUUGUUAGAAUGGAGAAAGACAAUGCUCCAGGAGUUGCGUAUUAAUUGUAGCAAAGUAUGAAAUGUUAUUCUAGGCUCUUGUACAAAUGUGAUGGUCUUAGCUCGUAGAUGUUAUACGAUGCGGGCAGAGGUCAAAGCAUAGGAAAUGACAAAUAGGAAAAUGUUGUCAUAAAUUAAUCUAAUUUAAGAUAUGUUGUUCUCAGUAAGUUAACUGAGGGAUGUCAUAAGUAUAAUAAUAUCAUAAUAUUAUGAAGUAGUAAGUGCCAUACACUGUGAAACUAUGAAGUGUAUAGAAAUUAAAGGAAAGCUAGUUAGUUAAAUGAAAAAAUAUUAAUAUCAAAACAUCGGUUAAGAAACUUUAAAUUGAAAAAUUGAAAAAGGUAAGAAAUUGAUAAAAUUAAAGAUUAUUUUGUUUGAGCUAUUGUAUAAUGGGAUAUGUACAAAGAAAAAGAAAGAAACGAAAUAUUAAUGGAAGGGUGUAGGCACUUACUUGAGAAUAGUUUUUAACUAAAUAAAUAAAUUAACACAUAACACAUAGGGUUUAAAAGCACAAAGACAUAACAAUUAUUGGUAAAAGGUUUUUUUAAGGGAGGUAGCACUACAUUUCCCCAAUUACUAUUUAACUUAGUUUUUACUUCCUAAAUUGAAGUCUAGUUUUUGUGUUUUCAAGAGGGAAUAUUGACAGUGUAGGCAGAUGUAGGUUAUCUGAAAUGUCAAAACACUUCUUCUCAAAUGUUGUACAGUAGUUGCCUAUUUUAAUUAAAUCUCUUAGUAACAUAAAGUAUACAGCAUUUUCAAAUUUUACAAAAAAGAUAGUUGUUAAUUUAUAGCAUUAAUAACAAAAUCUAAACUAUAUGUGUAACCACUAUUGUGAAAAAAACUGUUGUAACAAUAAUAAAAAUACAUGAUUAAUUAUUCUACAUUAGUAUUCAAGUAGAGAAGAAUUAAAGUAGAGAAGAAGUGUUGAGUUUAAGUUUAAGUAGGCAGUGCAUAAUCUAACGUACAAGCAUAUCACCUGUUGCAUAAUUGUAGAUGAGUAAGAUAAAUUGAUUAGCCUAGUCUAUUUAAAUUUAGUAAAUGAAAACAGAUAUAAAACUUGAAAGUUAUAACGAAGAAAAAGAAAAGAAAGUUGGUUGGUAGUAUUGUUAAUAUUGUAGUCGUGGCAAUGCCACGUCAACGAGGUCAAAGGAAGCGGAAUGUUUAAUGACAGGUGUGUGGAGGGAGGUAGGGGGGGUGUUAAUUUAAAAGAGAACCUAAAGUUUGUUUAAAUCCUAUUUGUAUUUAAGUAUUGGUGCCAACCAACUUCCUCAUGCGCCAUAAAUGGUAAGUUAUAAAUUUAAAGUAUUUAAUAGAUUAAAAGGUUUUGAUAACUUGUACAAAAUAAUCAUGCACUUCCAUAGCGGAACCUAUUAAAUUUAUAAAGCUAUAAUAUAAAAUGUGUAGUCUUAGUGAAUUCAAAAUAAUUUAGGGUGACAUUUUUAAAUUGAGAAACACGUGUUUAAUGUUUAAGAAUAUUGCACUGAUCAAACUCCGUAUUAAAUGUUCAAACGGUCAGGCACCUAUGGGAUAUUAACAGAAUGAGCUCAAAUGCCAUACCAGCAAAUUUUCUGACAUUUUAAAAAAGUUGUAGGUUACCAUUUUUAUAUCACCACGUGGAAAAGUGCAGAUGGUAAUUGAUUGUCCAGUAAUGAAGCUAAGAUGGGAAAAUUGGCUGUGUACUGAGCUACAAAAUCAUCAAAUUCAACAGGAAACGAACAAUGGAAAAUGGAUUUGAAUAAAAUUAAAAUUAGCGGGAUUUUGGAAAUUAAGAGUUAUUCAGGACGUGGCCCUUUUUGCAGAUGUGAAGAAUUUUGAAAUCAAUGUCCGGAUUGAAAUUAUGGUUGGAGUUACGGAUAUGUUGGGAAAAAUGAGACUGUCCAGAUGUUGGGCGCUGUAUGUAUCUAAGAUGUUCCUUCAAUCUGGUGUCGAACGAUCUAAAGGUUCUUCCGACGUAAUAUGACGAGCAGGUAUGGCAUUUAAGCUCAUAAACUCCACAACACUCAGAUCUAUCACGACUGUCCUUGUUAUUCAAGAAAACCAAACCUAAAUUUGAAUUAGUUCUAAAAGAAAUAUUACAGUAAUCUUUAAAAAUAUGAGCUAAUUUGUAAGAGAAUUGACCUGUAAAUGUUAAUGAUCUAUAUGGUUUUGGCUCCUGUUCGACUGGAAUAGGCUGUGUAUAUACUCGAUGUUCUAAAAUUCUAUUUGUUUUUUUGUGUAAAAUUUUAUUUACUAAGUCCACAGUAUAACCAUUAUUAACUGCUAUUUGUUGGAUAAUUCUUAAUUCUUUAUUAAAUGAAGUUGAAGUCAAUGGGAUAGAGACAAGCCUGUUGAUGUAACUAUAAAAAGCAGCCAGUUUAUGUUGUAUGGGGUGGUGUGAAUCGGCAGGGAUAAC
rnacentral:lncRNA from 1 species